AGAUUAACAUUUAAGUCAGUAGACUUUGAGGAAAGCAGAUUACUCUCCAUAAUGAGAGUGGGCCUCAUCCAGUAGUUGAAGGCCUGGAGAAAAAGACUAAGGUCCCUGGGGAAAACAGAAUGUCUCCAGCCUGCCUUCAGGCUCAAGCUGCAACAUCAACUCCUCCCUGGUUUUCUAGUAUGCCAGUAUCUCCUGCAAAACUCAGACUUGCCAGCCCCUACAAUCACACGAGCCAGUUACUUUAAAUAAAUAAGUAUUUGUAUCUCUCUCUGUGUAUGUAUACAUAUUUAUAAGUAUAUAAAUAUAUUCAAUAUAAAUCCUAUUAAUUCUGUUUCUCUGAAAAACCCUGUGUUCUCUGAAGAACCCUAAC
rnacentral:lncRNA from 1 species